CGAAAACACCAACAAGGAAGUUGUCAAUUUUUUUCUCCCUUCAUGACUAGUACUAAGAUGUCUUAUAGUAACAACUUAACAGGUUUAUAUUAGCCAAAAAGUGAAGGGAAACGACGACAAAACUUGCUUUUCUGUAUUCACAUCGCCAUGCGUAACAGGAGCAUAUCAGAGUAUCUCUCUAGAAGGGCCAUAGCACGAUCAUCCCUAAGUUGACGACCUGGAGAGUCUUCUGGAAGUUGAGG